UACAGAGGUCUCAAGCGUUGUUCGGAUUCAUUGGGCGUAAAGGGUGCGUAGGUGGCGGGGUAAGUCGGGUGUGAAAUUUCGGAGCUUAACUCCGAAACUGCAUUUGAUACUGCCUUGCUUGAGGACUGGAGAGGAGACUGGAAUUCACGGUGUAGCAGUGAAAUGCGUAGAGAUCGUGAGGAAGACCAGUGGCGAAGGCGGGUCUCUGGACAGUUCCUGACACUGAGGCACGAAGGCCAGGGGAGCAAACGGG
rnacentral:rRNA from 1 species